rnacentral:rRNA from 1 species
UGGGGAAUAUUGGACAAUGGGCGAAAGCCUGAUCCAGCCAUGCCGCGUGUGUGAAGAAGGUCUUCGGAUUGUAAAGCACUUUAAGUUGGGAGGAAGGGCUGCAAGUUAAUACCUUGUAGUUUUGACGUUACCAACAGAAUAAGCACCGGCUAACUUCGUGCCAGCAGCCGCGGUAAUACGAAGGGUGCAAGCGUUAAUCGGAAUUACUGGGCGUAAAGCGCGCGUAGGUGGUUUGGUAAGAUGGAUGUGAAAUCCCCGGGCUCAACCUGGGAACUGCAUCCAUAACUGCCUGAAUAGAGUACGGUAGAGNGUGGUGGAAUUUCCUGUGUAGCGGUGAAAUGCGUAGAUAUAGGAAGGAACACCAGUGGCGAAGGCGACCACCUGGACUGAUACUGACACUGAGGUGCGAAAGCGUGGGGAGC